CCUACGGGAGGCAGCAGUGGGGAAUAUUGCACAAUGGGGGAAACCCUGAUGCAGCGACGCCGCGUGAGUGAAUGAGUAUUUCGGUACGUAAAGCUCUAUCAGCAGGGAAGAAAAUGACGGUACCUGACUAAGAAGCGCCGGCUAACUCCGUGCCAGCAGCCGCGGCAAUACGUAGGCGGCAAGCGUAAUCCGGAUUUACUGGGAGUAAAGGGAGCGUAGACGGCGGCGCAAGUCUGGAGUGAAAUGCCAUGGCUGAACCAUGGAACUGCUGUGGAAACUGUGCAGCUAGAGUGCAGGAGAGGUAAGCGGAAUUCCUGGUGGAGCGGUGAAAUGCGUAGAUAUUAGGAGGAACACCAGUGGCGAAGGCGGGUUACUGGACUGUAACUGACGUUGAGGCUCGAAAGCGGGGGGAGCAAACAGGAUUAGAUACCCGGGUAGUC
rnacentral:rRNA from 1 species